rnacentral:sRNA from 1 species
GGUAACAAUUUGCAACGCCUAUUAGGGCUACGAGCGAAAUCAAUGGAUAGCGUAUGUCCUCGGUGGUGAAAGGAUGGAACUACUGGAAAGGUUGCGUAAGUUCGUGAAACAAAAAUUACAGAUAUGGAUAUGUAGAUGGACGUAUACGGCAGUACAAGCAAGGACUAACCCUGUGCAGUCACCACAGCCCACUGGACUAUAGCCACGAUCGCUGGGGUUGCAUGAAGUUUGGCCCUACGCCUGAAAACUCUCCAUACGGAGUAAGGUAAGUCUGAAA